rnacentral:rRNA from 1 species
UACGGGGGGGGUAAGCGUUGUUCGGAAUUACUGGGCGUAAAGGGCGCGUAGGCGGCCCUCUAAGUCAGACGUGAAAUCCCUCGGCUCAACCGGGGAACUGCGUCUGAGACUGGAAGGCUUGAAUUCGGGAGAGGGAUGUGGAAUUCCAGGUGUAGCGGUGAAAUGCGUAGAUAUCUGGAGGAACACCGGUGGCGAAGGCGGCAUCCUGGACCGAUAUUGACGCUGAUGCGCGAAAGCCAGGGGAGCAAACGGG